GACGAACGCUGGCGGCGUGCCUAAUACAUGCCAGUAGAACGCACAGUUUAUACCGUAGCUUGCUACACCAUACACUGUGAGUUGCGAACGGGUGAGUAACGCGUAGGUAACCUGCCUGGUAGCGGGGGAUAACUAUUGGAAACGAUAGCUAAUACCGCAUAAUAUUGAUUAUUGCAUGAUAAUUGAUUGAAAGAUGCUAUUGCAUCACUACCAGAUGGACCUGCGUUGUAUUAGCUAGUAGGUGAGGUAACGGCUCACCUAGGCGACGAUACAUAGCCGACCUGAGAGGGUGAUCGGCCACACUGGGACUGAGACACGGCCCAGACUCCUACGGGAGGCAGCAGUAGGGAAUCUUCGGCAAUGGACGAAAGUCUGACCGAGCAACGCCGCGUGAGUGAAGAAGGGUUUCGGAUCGUAAAGCUCUGUUGUAAGAGAAGAACGGGUGUGAGAGUGGAAAGUUCACACUGUGACGGUAUCUUAACAGAAAGGGACGGCUAACUACGUG
rnacentral:rRNA from 1 species